CAAGUUAUCUAUACUGAAUUAUUAAUCAAGAACACGAAUGUAGUAUUAACCACCUCUCGAUGCACUAAUACCGUAUUAACGUCAAUCCACAAUCAAGAUAGAAAUCCGUUAAACACCUUAAUCAACUAAUCCACUAUAUCUCUAUAUGAAUUACAAUUGAAGAAGGUUUAAGAAUAAGUUCUCUAUCCGUUUACAUGCGAUGUCAAGCAUAUCUCUACCUUAACAUUCAUCAAGAUUAAGCUAUUCACAAAAUCAUGAACACAUGCUAUUAUAAUCAGAUCUAAAUCUAUACUUCAUCUCUCGAGUUCAUAUAGAUUAUCACGAUAAUUAUUAGCUAGGCAAUUAAGCAAUUAAGUCCAAAUCAUAAUAGACAAUCUAAAUAUAGCUAAUAAGACUAACAAAGAAGCAUAUCAAAGUAAACUACAAAAUAAGAUCUAUAGUAACCUCAAACAAAGAAUUAGUUCAUGAUUAUUGAAUUAAAACUAAGAAUCCACAAUUGAAUACACAUUAAAAGACAAGGAUAGAAGAAGUUGAGAAGAUAUAAUCUAUUGUCUGUAGAUUUGAUGCUCCCUCCUUGCUCCUACUUUGAAUCUUCAAUGGUCUCCAAGUUGCUUCAAUCUCCAAAUUUAAUAAGAACUAG
rnacentral:lncRNA from 1 species